rnacentral:lncRNA from 1 species
AUGGUAUGGAAGAGACCAGCUUUUGCUGUUGGAGGGACUGGUUUUUAUACAGGACUCGAGCUUCAGACAGACGUGGGUAUCAAUGUCCCCCAAGGCUCGUUCCCUCCUCUAGCUACUGGAUACCAGAAGACCCUUAGGACAGAGGUCCCCUCGACCACGCACCUGAUGACCCAACAUGCACUUGCAACACCAUGCUCAUGCAGGGAGAAACUUCACGUCCUGUUCUCAUACGAGGAACAGGCGUGCACGGACGUGACGCAUGAAUGCAAACAAUGGCCCUUAAAUGUUGUUCACCUUCAGAAAGCCGUUGGUUGGCAAAACCACUGUCCACAAGAAAGACAGAAAGGAGGGGGGUGGGAAGAAAGAAAGAAAGAAAGAAAAAGAAAGAAAGAAAGAAAGAAAGGAAGGAAGAGAGAAAAAGAAAGGAGAGAAGGAGAGAAGGAGAGGAGGAAAGAGAGGGAGGGAUGGAAGGAGGGAAGGAGGAAAGAAAGAAUCUGGUCUGUGACUACACUGAACUGGAAAUAUUAAAAUCCUCGCUCAUAAAGCUUGUCUUGCCUUAUUAUUUUUAUUUUUUUACAGAUUUUAUUCUACUUAUGUUCUCUGGCCUAGAAGUAGAGGAGUGACUGAGGUUCUUUAUAUUCAUGGACCCAGGGCAAUCUAAAUCUAAGAUGAUCCCUCAAAUAUGAAGUUAUCAUAAAACCAC